rnacentral:lncRNA from 1 species
UCCUCAGAUGCUCUCAUCUCCUCUCUUCCAUCAGCCUAACCCUAACCCCCUUUCAACUGCCUCCCUUUUCUGGUCUUCUCUAGUGACCACCCUUCAAUCCCAAAUCUCCAAUGGUUCCUCCAUUGCCUUGCUCAUCCUCUCUGAGGCCUUCAAGGGCCCUCGGCCACCCCAACUUGUAUCUAAGGUUGCUGUUUUGGCUGUUCAUGGCUACUCCAGUGUGAUUUUAGGCAAAGUCACACUAUAUUUGUUACGAUCUUUGAAAUUUUAAGCAGGUUCUUCCAUUUCUAUUUGGGUUUCUUUUGAAACCCUAAUUUUCGUUUGUAUCUCUUAGAUCUGGCCUAUUUUUAAAACAAUUCGAGUUUGUUCCUUCUAUGUUUUACAUUAAUCUCGAACCUCUUUUGCAAAAAUCAUUGAUUUCAAGUUGUUUUACUUUCUUUUAAAGUUAGGGUCUUACGGAACUUCUUCUACACUUUGUUUAAAUUGAUUCUUUAUGUUUUAACUUCUAUUCGUUGCAUAUCUCAAAUGAUUCUAUGUUUUUACUCCUUUUUCAACUCGUCUAUGUUGAAAACCCUAACUUUUUAGCCCCAACCUUAGGUUUUUGAGUUUUUUUUAAUAAUAUGUCCGGUUAUUCUGUAUAUUUCUAUGAUUCUGUGACUUUUGUCCUAUGUUUUCUUGUUAGGAUUCAUAAUUAUGGUUAUCCUUGCCUAUAGUGUGACUUUGCCUUAUUUUUGUUCACCAAUGUUUCUGAUCUUCACUUCUCCUACCUGUAUCAUGCUUAGCCUAAUAAUUCAGACUAUGCUCUACAUGAAUCCUUAAUUUUAUACGUGAUUCUUGUCCUACUCGACCUCUUAGGGUUUUGAUUUUUGCUUAACAAGUGCAUGUUCUUAUAGAGUGGUGCUAAAUCAGUGCUACCUCCUAUUCUUGCAUCCCUGAAUCUUUGUGAUUGAACUUUCACUGAUUCUGCAUGAUUAAUCUACUGAUUUUUACCUUGUAGAAUAUUUUUCUAACCUUAUUCUAUUGUCUAUUAUGUUGUUAAUUGUUUGAUCAAGUCUUUCCUUGAUUUAAGUGUGUUGAACCUGGCUUCUAUUACAUAUUAUGUACUUGUGCUAUCCAGAAAAUAUUUCCUUAAUUGGCAUGUCCAACCUUACAUGAUUUCUUUCCUUAUUUGGCAUAUGUCUGUUACUGUUCGAAGUUAACUCCUCAAUUAAAGGAAGGACUUACCAUGAUUUCCUAACUGAUUUAUUCCGAAUUCCUUAAUUAUUAAUGGGAUGUGAUUUUUACCUGCUUUCAAACUAUAAAUACCCUAUUCUUUCAUUAGCAGAACACACGAACACUCUUGGUUCAAAACUCUAUCUCUCACACUUAAAAAAAUUUUGCUCUCCUGUGUGCUACUUGCUACUGCUCUAAGUCAGUCAGCUGCAACCCAAGGCUAACCAUUGUAUCCUACCGUUUUUUCAACUUUGCUUACUGUGCUCUUUGCUGGUAUGUUUAAAUUUCAAUUCAAAAAUCGAACAACAAUAUAAUUUUUUUUAUUGCUUCAAUUCAUCCUGUUUCUAGUGUGCUUCUAUUUGUGGUUUGUUGUGAAACUUGUAGUUGAUGCUUACCUUAUUACGUACUCCAUUUCCUUUUGAUCAUCAUGUUACCCCUCUGUAUUGUUUCUGAAAUUAUCUGCACCAAUUAUCUCUAUGUGUUUACCACCAUGUGUUCCAUGUACUCCAAAAUCCCUAUCACCCAUGUAUGUGAGCUUGUUCUUUUAUUUGGUUUUGUGACUAUGUCUUGUCAUCUACCUCUGAGCAUGCCUAUACCAAUUCUUGGAUCUUUGCUUAGUUUUGUGUCCUAUGUAUUCCCCAAACCCCCUUGACCCCUGCUUAUGGCUACUGAACCUACUUUUAUGUUGUGACUCCUGGUUAGGUAUGAUUGUCCUAAGAUGUUUGGACCUCUAUUCAUUUCUUCAAUCUCUUUUCAAACAGUCUCUGAGUUUUACUAUAUUAAUUUCAAGCCUUCUUUUAUAUAGGUUUUCACUAAAAUCACUUUUACUCUACUCUUAAUCAAUAAGUUCUGCCCCUUCUAAUAUGUGUACUACCUUGGGAUCCUCUUGAGAACCCUCUAAACUCUUGCAUACUGAGGUUGGCUUUUCUACACUGCAGUUGUUCAACUUUUGGUUACUAAGUCUAGGUGUAAGCACUGCCCCGGGAUCUUUGAGAUCCUUAGGGAACUUUGAUGCACCUAGACUUUGCAUUGUCUAUGGACUUGAGGCAUUUGAGGCCAUUGGAGGCUUUGGGAAAUCUGGGCAUAAUCAGAGGCUUCCUAUAGAAUAACUUCUUGUUUUUUUAAUUUACUUAUGUAAUUCAAUUGUCUGUAAUAACUUGUAAAUAAAUAUUGGGGUAUUUAUUGAAAUUGGACGGGUAGAUACAUGUCUAUGGGGUAAUACGG